CAGGCCUAACACAUGCAAGUCGAACGAGCCUUUCGGGGCUAGUGGCGGACGGGUGAGUAACGCGUGGGAACGUGCCCUAAGGUACGGAACAACUGAGGGAAACUUCAGCUAAUACCGUAUGUGCCCGAGAGGGGAAAGAUUUAUCGCCUUAGGAGCGGCCCGCGUCUGAUUAGCUAGUUGGUGGGGUAAAGGCCCACCAAGGCUUCGAUCAGUAGCUGGUCUGAGAGGAUGGCCAGCCACAUUGGGACUGAGACACGGCCCAAACUCCUACGGGAGGCAGCAGUGGGGAAUCUUGCGCAAUGGGCGAAAGCCUGACGCAGCCAUGCCGCGUGGAUGAUGAAGUUCUUAGGAUUNUAAAAUCCUUUCANCGNNNACGAUGAAGAAUUANCCCGGGAGAAGAAGCCCCGGCUNACUUCGUGCCAGCAGC
rnacentral:rRNA from 1 species